GACGAACGCUGGCGGCGUGCUUAACACAUGCAAGUCGAACGGUGAAGCGCCUUCCUUUUUGGUGGGUGUGGAUGAGUGGCGAACGGGUGAGUAACACGUGAGUAACCUGCCCCCUUCUUCUGGAUAACCGCAUGAAAGUGUGGCUAAUACGGGAUAUUCUGGGUCUGUCGCAUGAUGGGUCUGGGAAAGAUAUUGUUUCGGUGGGGGAUGGGCUCGCGGCCUAUCAGCUUGUCGGUGGGGUGAUGGCCUACCAAGGCGGUGACGGGUAGCCGGCCUGAGAGGGUGGACGGUCACACUGGGACUGAGACACGGCCCAGACUCCUACGGGAGGCAGCAGUGGGGAAUAUGGCACAAUGGGCGCAAGCCUGAUGCAGCGACGCCGCGUGAGGGAUGGAGGCCUUCGGGUUGUGAACCUCUUUCGCCAGUGAAGCAGGCCUGCCUCGUUUGUGGGUGGGUUGACGGUAGCUGGAUAAGAAGCGCCGGCUAACUACGUG
rnacentral:rRNA from 1 species